UACAGAGGUGCCAAGCGUUAGGCGGAAUCACUGGGCUUAAAGCGCGUGUAGGUGGACGGGUAAGUAUCUUGUGAAAUCCCACAGCUCAACUGUGGAACUGCUGGAUAUACUGCUUGUCUUGAGGCAUUCAGGGGCAACCGGAACAAAUGGUGGAGCGGUGAAAUGCGUAGAUAUCAUUUGGAACGCCUAUGGUGAAAACAGGUUGCUGGGGAUGUUCUGACGCUGAGACGCGAAAGCGUGGGGAGCGAACAGG
rnacentral:rRNA from 1 species